rnacentral:rRNA from 1 species
UACUACGGACGGGGACCGAUUCAGUUGACAGGGCAGUCCAACUACAGGGCCGCCGGGGACGCGCUGAACCAGCCCCUGGAGAGCAACCCGGAGAUAGUGGCCAACAACCCGGUGGUCUCCUUCCAGACGGCCCUCUGGUUCUGGAUGACGGCGCAGACGCCCAAGCCGUCCUGCCACAACGUCAUCCUCGGCAACUGGACGCCCACGGACGCCGACCGCACCGCCGGCCGGCUGCCCGGCUACGGCGUCAUCACAAACAUCAUCAACGGCGGGGUCGAGUGCGGCAUGGGCCAGAUGCCAAACGACCCCAACGCGGACCGCAUCGCCUACUACAAGCGCUACUGCGACAUGCUCGACACCACCUACGGCGACAACCUUGACUGCUACUCCCAGAAGAAUUUCGCUGCCUAG